ACUCCUACGGGAGGCAGCAGUGGGGAAUAUUGCACAAUGGGGGAAACCCUGAUGCAGCCAUGCCGCGUGUGUGAAGAAGGCCUUCGGGUUGUAAAGCACUUUCAGUAGGGAGGAAGGUAGUGUAGUUAACACCUGCAUUAUUUGUACGUUACCUACAGAAGAAGCACCGGCUAACUCCGUGCCAGCAGCCGCGGUAAUACGGAGGGUGCGAGCGUUAAUCGGAAUUACUGGGCGUAAAGCGCAUGCAGGCGGCCUGUUAAGUCAGAUGUGAAAGCCCGGGGUCUUAACCUCGGAAUUGCAUUUGAAACUGGCAGGCUAGAGUCUUGUAGAGGGGUUAGAAUUUCAGGUGUAGCGGUGAAAUGCGUAGAGAUCUGAAGGAAUACCAGUGGCGAA
rnacentral:rRNA from 1 species